UUAAAAAGCUCGUAGUUGAACCUUGGGCCUGGCUGACCUGUCCUCCUAAUCGAGCGCACGGGUUCGGUCGGGCCUUUCCUUCUGGGGAUCCCGAUGCCCUUCACUGGGCGUCGUGGGGAACCAGGACUUUUACCUUGAAAAAAUUAGAGUGUUCAAAGCAGGCCUUUGCUCGAAUACAUUAGCAUGGAAUAAUAGAAUAGGACAGAGGUUCUAUUUUGUUGGUUUCUAGGACCGCUGUAAUGAUUAAUAGGGAUAGUCGGGGG
rnacentral:rRNA from 1 species